rnacentral:rRNA from 1 species
UCCAGACUCCUACGGGAGGCAGCAGUGAGGAAUAUUGGUCAAUGGGCGGAAGCCUGAACCAGCCAAGUCGCGUGAGGGAAGAAGGCCCUGCGGGUCGCAGACCUCUUUGGACGGGGAGCAAGGCCGCCGACGUGUCGGCGGAAGGAGAGUACCCGUAGAACAAGCAUCGGCUAACUCCGUGCCAGCAGCCGCGGUAAUACGGAGGAUGCGAGCGUUAUCCGGAUUUAUUGGGUUUAAAGGGUGCGCAGGCGGCACGGCAAGCCGGCGGUCAAAUCGCGGGGCUCAACCCCGCCCAGCCGUCGGAACUGGCAGUCUCGAGUUGGAGAGAAGUAUGCGGAAUGCGCGGUGUAGCGGUGAAAUGCAUAGAUAUCGCGCAGAACUCCGAUUGCGAAGGCAGCAUGCCGGCUCCACACUGACGCUGAGGCACGAAAGCGUGGGUAUCGAACAGGAUUAGAUACCCUUGUA